rnacentral:rRNA from 1 species
GGGAACAACAGCUGGAAACGGCUGCUAAUACCCCAUAGGCUGAGGAGCAAAAGGAGGAAUCCGCCCAAGGACGGGGCUCGCGUCUGAUUAGUUAGUUGGUGAGGCAAUGGCUUACCAAGGCGACGAUCAGUAGCUGGUCCGAGAGGAUGAUCAGCCACACUGGGACUGAGACACGGCCCAGACUCCUACGGGAGGCAGCAGUGGGGAAUUUUCCCAUGGGCGAAAGCCUGACGGAGCAAUGCCGCUUU